AGUGGAUGGGGAGCAACCUAUGUUGUGCGUGUGUAAAGGUAGUGCCAAGAAAAGCGAUGAUCAUGUUGAAAAUCAAUUCCCGGUACCCGAGACCGACACAGGUGGGCAAGUAGAGAAUACUAAGGGGCGCGAGGUAACUCUCUCCAAGGAACUCGGCAAAAUGACCCCGUAACUUAGGGAGAAGGGGUGCCACCGAGAGGUGGUCGCAGUGAAGAGGCCCAGGCGACUGUUUAGCAAAAACAUAGGUCUCUGCAAACUCGAAAGAGGAGGUAUAGGGGCUGACGCCUGCCCAGUGCCGGAAGGUUAAAGAAGUUGGUCAGUUUUAGGAUGAAGCUAGCGACUGAAGCCCCGGUGAACGGCGGCCGUAACUAUAACGGUCCUAAGGUAGCGAAAUUCCUUGUCGGGUAAGUUCCGACCCGCACGAAAGGCGUAACGAUCUGGGCGCUGUCUCGGAGAGAGGCUCGGCGAAAUAGGAUUGUCUGUGAAGAUACGGACUACCUGCAUUUGGACAGAAAGACCCUAUGAAGCUUUACUAUAGCUUGGAAUUGUGUUCGGGCUUCCUGUGCGCAGGAUAGGUGGAGGCGUAGAAGGUAUUCUUGUGGGGAUACUGGAGCCAACGGUGAGAUACCACUCUCAGGAGGCUAGAAUUCUAACUUAAUUAAGGACAGUUUCAGGUGGGUAGUUUGACUGGGGCGGUCGCCUCCAAAAAGGUAACGGAGGCGUACAAAGGUUCCCUCAGACUGGUUGGAAAUCAGUCGAAGAGUGCAAAGGCAGAAGGGAGCUUGACAGCGAGAAGUACAGUUCGAGCAGGGUGGAAACACGGUCUUAGUGAUCCGACGGUGCUGUGUGGAAGGGCCGUCGCUCAACGGAUAAAGUUACUCUAAGGAUAACAGGCUGAUCUCCCCCAAGAGUUCACAUCGACGGGGAGGUUUGGCACCUCGAUGUCGGCUCAUCGCAACCUGGGGCGGAAGUACGUCCCAAGGGUUGGGCUGUUCGCCCAUUAAAGCGGUACGUGAGCUGGGUUCAGAACGUCGUGAGACAGUUCGGUCCAUAUCCGAUGUAGGCGUGAGAAUAUUGAGAGGAGCCUUCCUUAGUACGAGAGGACCGGGAAGGACGCACCGCUGGUGUACCUGUUAUGAUGCCAAUUGUAAACGCAGGGUAGCCAAGUGCGGAGAGGAUAACCGCUGAAAGCAUCUAAGUGGGAAGCCCACCUCAAGAUGAGUAUUCUGGUGUAAGGUCACGGGAAGACGACCCGUAAAUAGGCACGAGGUGGAAGUGCAGAGAUGUAUGAAGCCGAAGUGUACUAAUAGACCGUCGGCUUGACC
rnacentral:rRNA from 1 species